rnacentral:lncRNA from 1 species
GUGCAAGGGAAGUGGAUUUCACCAAAAAAAAAAAAAAAAAAAAAAAAAAAGACAAGGUUCUUUAGGAAGGAAAGUGAAGGAACUGAAACUGUAUGUUUAUUUCUUCAGUGAAAGAAGGAACAUUUUUUAUUUUUUGCUUUUUUAGGGUCUCACCCACAGCACAUGGAAAUUCCCAGGCUAGGGGUCGAAUUGGAGAUGUAGCUGCCAGCCAUAGCCACAGCCACAGCAAUGCCAGAUCUGAGGUGUGUCUGCAACCUACACCGCAGCUCACACUUAACCCACUGAACUGAGGCCAGGGAUCAAACCCACAUCCUCAUGGACACUAAUCAGGUUCAUUGCCACUGAAUCACAAUGGGAACUCCUUAGACUUUCCAUGACUUUGAAAUCAUAAAUGCUCAGGCCUCUUGGUGACAAAAUGGCUGGAAAGUAAGCGGAGACUAUAAUGCUUUCCUCUUCCUUUGUCCACAGGGCCUUACUUCUUGGUUUUUAGGAACUUCCUUCUCUCAGAAUAUCCCCUUAUCUGGCCUCUUGGAGACUCUGGCCCAGGAGAGCAUAUUUGCACUUGCCUUGACUGAAGGCUUCCUCCCUCAGACCUAGCUGAAGGCUUAAGUACAUAUUUCCAUGUUCAAUUUCAAGAAAGUAAUCCUCAACAGGCAUGAUUUGAUAGAACUUGUAGCUCAUCUGUGAAGACACUGAAAUACACACCAUCUACUUAUUGUCAACAAAUGCUUUAUGGUUGGAUGGGAAUGACUUGUCAUAUGACAACUCCUAGGGGAGGCCAAGGAAGGGGCAGAUUCCUGGUCCUGGUCCUUAGGUGGAGAAGUCACUCCAAACUUUAUCUCCUUUUGGAAACCUGGCAGGCUUCACCCCCUGGGGCUACAAGGGUGGGACCCACAGGGGGAAGAACAUUAUCAGAACCCUCUCCUGAUGGGAUUAAAACCCAAUACUUAAUUAUCUUGUAAGAGAGAAAAUGAAUGAUAAGGAUUCUAGUAGCUUGAAUUUAUUUAAUUACAAAAUCAGUGAAAAAAUCAAAUUAAAGGAGCACAUAAAACUUAACAAAAAUGGAUCAAUGGUUAAUUGAGGAGUCUGAAUUACAGAUCUUUCUGAUGCAUAUAUAUUUUCAAGUAGAAGAGUCUGCUUUAAUAUUUAAAAUAGAUUAAUAUGAAUAGUUUUUAUUCUCAUAUUUAAACCAGCUUAAGAUUAGUGCAGUUUAUUCUUUUAAAUUGGUUCACCAUAUAGAGAAAAUGUCUAAAAGUACCAGGUCAAAUUGUUUAUUAUAAAAUCUUAAUUGAAUCUGAAUCAAGAAUCACAAGAUUUGGUUUAGUUAGUUGUAUCCUCUUAUUUACAUUUAAUACAAUUAAAUACUGUGAAAAUCCAUAUAUAUAUUUUUGUAAUCUGUUCAUAGAGCUCGAUUUUUUAAAAGAAAACAUUUUUAUAGUUAUGAUCUAUGUAAUGUAAUAUUUAUAAUCUAUUAAAGACAUAACAUUACUAAAAAUUGGUUUUGCCCUAGAUUAAUUGCAUUUAAUUAAAGAACAAUUUAUAAAGUACUCGGUAUGUACAAAAGCUUAAUAGCCAGUACAAAAGCAGAAAGAUAUUUAGGGAGAUAAAUAUAUAAAUGAGAGCCUAAACUUAACUUAUUAAAUUCAUAAGAACAAAAAUAAAUCCAUGAGUUAAAAACAGAGGAAUUAUAUCUAGUUGGAAAAUAAGAAAUAUGUUCAUUGAGAACAGGUAAUCUGAUGGAGACCUUGAAGGUAGAUGGGAUUUCAGUGGACAAUGUUUGGGAAGAAAUAUACUGAGAGGAGGAAGGAGCAUAAAUUAGAGCUUAGAGGAAAGAUGCAUGGGGUAAAUUCUUGGAUGAAGCACUCAAACUUAACUGUAGUACAGAUAAACUCCAUGGUAUGUUGGCAGUCUAUUUUCUCAGAGCUCUUCUGGAAUGUUGAUUUUGUGGUUUGAUUUAGGGCAACAGCCAUGCCUUGAAUGUCUACUAAAUGAGCCAAAGCAGGGGAAUAAAAGAUAAAGGAAGGGUACAUACACUUUCUGACCUUAGAUCACUUCCAGUGGGGCAAAUCCUUUCAAAUUUUAGAGUUACUAGAGAUUUGUCUGGAAUGCUGUUGGAUGCAGAGAAGCCUCUAAACCAGACACGGGGGGNGGGAUGAAAAAAGAGAGAGUGUUUGAGUUUGGGGAAAUAUAGAUAGUCCAUGGUUCUAGAAGAUUCAUUCAGGUAAUUUCUAAGGCGUGUCAUUACUGCUUCAUUCCUUUUGGGUUUUGUAUUUUUGUUUGGUUUUUGAUGUGA